rnacentral:lncRNA from 1 species
GUAUUCCGCCCGGUGGGAACCUCGGCCCGUGCCACCUUUCUGGUUCUCUCGGAGGCCUUUCACAGUAGCUUCAGCUGCGCCUUGACGGUUCCCGGCACUCGCGGUGCAGCUGUUCCGGGAGGCUGGAAGCCAACCUCGAAAUUGAACUCAGGACCUUGCCCUCUUGAGGCAGGCGCGGUGCCAUUGAGCUAAAUCCCUGCCCCCUUCCAUUUUUAUCUUAAAUUGUCAAGCAAUAUAAUGAAGUGGAAAUACCCACGUUCGCAUUAAAGUCAGAAUGAGCAUCGGGUUUAGUCACUAGCAGCAUCCAUCACCUCAGUGAGCCUGGGUGGUGUUGAGAGCAAAUACUACCAACAUUGGAAAAUGUACAGAUUUUCGUGGCAAGUCUAGUUUGAAAUGAUGGGCCCUUUUCAUAGGCUCCCACUGAAUAAUUUUGGGCAUAGGUGGUGACUGCCUACAAAAAGCAGAAAUCCCUUCACAUUGGCAAUCAUUCUGGAAAGAGGAAUUUCC